CCGGAACCGCGACGGCGUACGCGCGGGUUCCGGAGACGCGGCGGCGCCGCUCAGGCGCAGAGAGGCGGGGAGUCGGGCGGCCCCUGGAGCCCCGGGGCCCGGCCCACCCUGCCAGCAGGAAAAUAUGCCAAGAUCUAACACGAGACGUGGGCUUGUGAACCGUUCACAACACUGGCUGUUACGUCUCAAGUCUGCCCCUAUUCUACACACUUAUUGAGGUGGUUUUUUUUUUCAUAAUUUCAUUACACUAAUUAUGUUAACUGCCAUCUAAUUUCAGACCCCAUUUGUUUUACCAAUUGCCCCAAUAAUGUCCUUAAUAAUAAAAAGAUCCAGUUUAUAAUCACA